rnacentral:lncRNA from 1 species
GCCAGGGGUGUCCGCCAAUCAGGGUAGCGUGGUGCGUCUCCUGGACCCCGGGUCGCGUUGCACCGCCUUCCGAACCCAACGAGAACUGUUAGGGUCCCAGAAACGGGAUGAAGGAGGAGAGGGAAGAAACCGGAGAGAGGGUUGAUGCUCCGUAUCCAGACGGUUCCAGCCCAGUGGCGGCCCACACACGCCCCGUGGACCCAGGGUGGUCCUCGCCCCGUCCUCGGCGGCUUCCUCCUCCGCAGGCGGGGGGGCUCUGCAUUUUCAUUCUGCACUGGACCCUACAAAUGAAGUAGCUGUUCACGUACACAUCACUUUGAUCAUUUGUGCAGUGUCCACACACCACCGCUUUUUCUCCAGCAUUGAAGUGUACCAUAAAUAAUUAGGAAUGGAACGAAGAACUGACUCCCUGGAACGUCCUGCCUACGCUUCUCCGCCUGCCUCGUGCUUCAGCCCGUGGGACGGCAGAGCAGAUCAAAGCAUCGGUCCAUUUUACGGUCGGGACCAGUGAGGCUCAGCGAGCGAGAAUCCCAGCCAAACCUGCAAAUAACGUUCCUGCAUAAACAUGAAAUACAGGUCGCUGUGUUGAGCGGCGUUUUCCCAGCGCCACUUCUUCUGGGAUCCUGAGGACCUGGUGGGCCGUCGGGGGUCCUUCCAGAGGCCCGCAGAGGGCACGGGCUCCCUCCGCCACGUGGUGC